rnacentral:rRNA from 1 species
AGAGUUUGAUCCUGGCUCAGGAUGAACGCUAGCUACAGGCUUAACACAUGCAAGUCGAGGGGCAGCAUGAACUUAGCUUGCUAAGUUUGAUGGCGACCGGCGCACGGGUGAGUAACACGUAUCCAACCUGCCGAUGACUCGGGGAUAGCCUUUCGAAAGAAAGAUUAAUAUCCGAUAGUAUAUUAAAACCGCAUGGUUUUACUAUUAAAGAAUUUCGGUUAUCGAUGGGGAUGCGUUCCAUUAGUUUGUUGGCGGGGUAACGGCCCACCAAGACUACGAUGGAUAGGGGUUCUGAGAGGAAGGUCCCCCACAUUGGAACUGAGACACGGUCCAAACUCCUACGGGAGGCAGCAGUGAGGAAUAUUGGUCAAUGGACGAGAGUCUGAACCAGCCAAGUAGCGUGAAGGAUGACUGCCCUAUGGGUUGUAAACUUCUUUUAUAUGGGAGUAAAGUUUUCCACGUGUGGGAUUUUGUAUGUACCAUAUGAAUAAGGAUCGGCUAACUCCGUGCCAGCAGCCGCGGUAAUACGGAGGAUCCGAGCGUUAUCCGGAUUUAUUGGGUUUAAAGGGAGCGUAGGUGGAUUGUUAUGUCAGUUGUGAAAGUUUGCGGCUCAACCGUAAAAUUGCAGUUGAAACUGGCAGUCUUGAGUACAGUAGAGGUGGGCGGAAUUCGUGGUGUAGCGGUGAAAUGCUUAGAUAUCACGAAGAACUCCGAUUGCGAAGGCAGCUCACUAGACUGCAACUGACACUGAUGCUCGAAAGUGUGGGUAUCAAACAGGAUUAGAUACCCUGGUAGUCCACACAGUAAACGAUGAAUACUCGCUGUUUGCGAUAUACAGUAAGCGGCCAAGCGAAAGCAUUAAGUAUUCCACCUGGGGAGUACGCCGGCAACGGUGAAACUCAAAGGAAUUGACGGGGGCCCGCACAAGCGGAGGAACAUGUGGUUUAAUUCGAUGAUACGCGAGGAACCUUACCCGGGCUUAAAUUGCAUUUGAAUAAUCUGGAAACAGGUUAGCCGCAAGGCAAAUGUGAAGGUGCUGCAUGGUUGUCGUCAGCUCGUGCCGUGAGGUGUCGGCUUAAGUGCCAUAACGAGCGCAACCCUUAUCUUUAGUUACUAACAGGUCAUGCUGAGGACUCUAGAGAGACUGCCGUCGUAAGAUGUGAGGAAGGUGGGGAUGACGUCAAAUCAGCACGGCCCUUACGUCCGGGGCUACACACGUGUUACAAUGGGGGGUACAGAAGGCAGCUACCUGGCGACAGGAUGCUAAUCCCAAAAACCUCUCUCAGUUCGGAUCGAAGUCUGCAACCCGACUUCGUGAAGCUGGAUUCGCUAGUAAUCGCGCAUCAGCCAUGGCGCGGUGAAUACGUUCCCGGGCCUUGCACACACAGCCCGUCA